UACAGAGGAGCCAAGCGUUGUCCGGAUUGACUGGGCGUAAAGCGCACGCAGGCGGCACCGCGCGUGGGGUGUGAAAUCUGGCCGCUUAACGGCCAGGCGCCAUCCCAUACGGCGGAGCUGGAGUGAUGCAGAGGUCGAUGGAAUUGCCGGUGUAGUGGUGAAAUGCGCAGAUAUCAGGAGGAACACCGGUGGCGAAGGCGGUUCUCUGGGCAUUACCUGACGCUGAGGAGCGAAAGCAUGGGGAGCGAACAGG
rnacentral:rRNA from 1 species